rnacentral:rRNA from 1 species
UACAGAGGUCUCAAGCGUUGUUCGGAUUCAUUGGGCGUAAAGAGCGCGUAGGCGGCCCGGAAAGUGGGGUGUGAAAACCCGAGGCUCAACCUCGGGCGUGCAUUCCAAACUCCCGGGCUUGAGGCAGGUAGGGGAGAUCGGAAUUCCUGGUGUAGCGGUGAAAUGCGCAGAUAUCAGGAGGUACACCGGUGGCGAAGGCGGAUCUCUGGGCCUGUUCUGACGUUGAGGCGCGAAAGCUAGGGGAGCGAACAGG